UCCGGUUUGUCACCGGCAGUCUCCUAUGAGUCCCCAACUGAAUGCUGGCAACAUAGAACGAGGGUUGCGCUCGUUGCGGGACUUAACCCAACAUCUCACGACACGAGCUGACGACAACCAUGCACCACCUGUGAACCGGCCCCAAAGGGGAAACCACAUUUCUGCGGCGGUCCGGUCCAUGUCAAGCCUUGGUAAGGUUCUUCGCGUUGCAUCGAAUUAAUCCGCAUGCUCCACCGCUUGUGCGGGCCCCCGUCAAUUCCUUUGAGUUUCAGUCUUGCGACCGUACUCCCCAGGCGGAGUGCUUAAUGCGUUAGCUGCGGCACCGGGGGGGUCGAUACCCCCGACACCUAGUCCUCAACGUUUAGGGCGUGGACUAC
rnacentral:misc_RNA from 1 species